CUACUGAUUAUGAUUAGUCAGCAAUCGGAUGGUUUGUUUUAGCCUGAGCUAUGUGUUAUUGCAUAUUCAUAGCUACUUGCUAAAACAUACCAAUCGAGUUGACUGACAU
rnacentral:pre_miRNA from 1 species